rnacentral:misc_RNA from 1 species
AAAAAGCGAGGCCAUAAUUCCUCAUUGUGUUUAUACAAUCCAUUUCUAGGGCAUUGAUUCGAGUAAUUUGAUUUUUCUUUUUUCUUCUUAUUGUCGUUGAUCGAUAUGAAGGACGACGAUGUCCUUCCAACGACGAUAGCGAGUGCCGGGAAGAAAGAGAGCUCGGUUUCGAGUUUAUUCGGCAAAGGACGCUACAAGUUUUGGGCAUUAGCUGUCAUUUUGUUGCUCGCAUUUUG